UGGCCCUCAUUACAGUCGACUUCCCUUGUUGGAACUAUCUAAAAACAGACAACGCUUUAAGGUUGACGAUUUUGCAAGAGAUUCCAAGCUCACUGGGCAUUGAAAAUGACCAUACCCAUUGCGAAAGAUUCCAAGUUAAAUGUUGAAUCAAAUAUCUAUAGAUACCAUUUGCCUUGAGGUGCUGCCUCAACACUUUCAAACCGCCCGCCUUUCGUUGUCAAACAAAUACUGGCAAUCAUCCAUCCGCACCAUAAAUGGCAUAAACCGUCCACUCACACAAACCACCAGUCUCUUAUCCAUCAAUUACAAUCCAAAAUAUCAAGGAACAGCCAUUUUAGCUCUCCACAAAACCUUUCAAGGGCGGGAGCCAGCUGGCAGGGACAGAGUGAACUAAUUGUUUUGCUUCAAUAUUUCUAGAGGGAGACAACACUUCACGGAACUUCGCACUGGUGACAAAAUCAAUAUUUUGACAAUCCAUGGUCAAGGCAGCUAUCACAAAUCUAUGCUUCGCGGAAAAAUCACAACCAAAGCUUGGAAUGAACUGUCAUGGGAAACUUAAAGAGGAGGCUUAAUUCAAUUCAGGUUCAGCUUUCCUAUGCAAUGUGCAAUAAAAAAUUAUCUAGAUAUGUUAAGGCACCUACGGAACACUUGGUUAGAAAAAAUAUAAAAGCACCCAUUAUAAGUCAACUCAUUGUCUCUCUGCACAUACCCAACCCUGAAACAACCAUCCUUCUACAAAAAGGAA